rnacentral:ncRNA from 1 species
CCGAACUAUCAUUGUGAAGCAGAAUUCACCAAGCGUUGGAUUGUUCACCCACUAAUAGGAAACGUGAGCUGGGUUUAGACCGUUGUGAGACAGGUU